UUGUUUGGAAUCACAAUUUGUGCUGCUUCCAUGGGGUAACUGAAUCAGUUAUUUAAAAGAAACGCUCCUUUAAAAAAAGAAAAGCAUUCAAAGGCUGUUGAAACUGUUAUGGUUUAAAAAAAAAAACAGAUCCAGGAAAGUACAGACCAAUCAGCCUCAAUACCUGGGAAGAUCCUGAAAAGAUAAUCAAACAGCAGAUCUGCAGACACCUAAAAGCAAGCAAAGUUAUAACCAGAAGCCAAGGCGGUUGUCAAAAACAGACCAUGUCAAUUUCAUUCUUUGACAAAAUGAUUAAAUUAGUGGACCAACAAAAUGCUGAGGACUUGGAUUUCAGUAAGCCAUUUGACAAUGUAGAUUACUACUUCUUGGGCCACAACAAUCCCAUCUCAGAACCACAAUGUUUCCCUCUAUUACCGACCCAAUGCCUUUCAGAAAACAAGAAGAAUAGGGAUCACCUGCAAUUCAUGGGGACGCUAUUCCAAAAGUUUCAGUUAUACUACAAGCAAUUAUACAUCCUGAAGAAUUAUGGCUCCCAACCAACCUCAUUAAAAUUGCAGAUAUUCUUAAAUAAGUAACACUGGCUCAUUUAAUCGUGUUUCACCCUAUAACAAAACCCAGUUUAUUUGAGAAUGGAUGCCACUUACCUAGCAUGCGAACACAUUUGGCAUUCUGCUCUGGGCUAUCAAAUGAGAUUUCUCCACACCUCUGGAAAAAAAGGGAACAACAUAUUCAAUACAAGACUUGAAGGCAGAGACAUCUUUAAUCCAUAGUACGUUGCUUUUGUUUUUCACAUGACCACUUCAUACAAUGUUAAGAAACAAAUGCCACACAUUUCUUUGUAAUAAGAGGAUUGAGAGUUAUGAGAAAAUGAUUAGUACUUGGAAAUGGUGGAAGAUAAAAUAAACUCUCAGAAAAUUGUUCUGAUUUUUAGUAAGUUUUAAACAAUAAAUUCCAAUGUGAAAGUAUCGAUGACCACUGAUUAGAAAGUCUAAUGUCUCCAUGUGAUACUUUGAGUACUACAAGUUUAAUAAGGUAUUUCCUUGUAAAAAUUGUUUGUGUGUGCUGUGGAGUUACAAUGCAUAUUAGACUUCUGUUCCCCAAGCGACUCUGCUAUCAAGAAAUUAUAUGACACUGAUAGAGAAGUAUAUGUAAAUUUCCUCAAGACAUUGUGGUCAUGUAUGAUUUCUAAUAAACAACAUUGCACCAA